rnacentral:rRNA from 1 species
GGGUGCGGAACACGUGUGCAACCUGCCUUUAUCUGGGGGAUAGCCUUUCGAAAGGGAGAUUAAUACCCCAUAAUAUACUGGAUGGCAUCAUCUGGUAUUGAAAACUCCGGUGGAUAGAGAUGGGCACGCGCAAGAUUAGAUAGUUGGUGAGGUAACGGCUCACCAAGUCUACGAUCUUUAGGGGGCCUGAGAGGGUGAUCCCCCACACUGGUACUGAGACACGGACCAGACUCCUACGGGAGGCAGCAGUGAGGAAUAUUGGACAAUGGGUGAGAGCCUGAUCCAGCCAUCCCGCGUGAAGGACGACGGCCCUAUGGGUUGUAAACUUCUUUUGUAUAGGGAUAAACCUAGAUACGUGUAUCUAGCUGAAGGUACUAUACGAAUAAGCACCGGCUAACUCCGUGCCAGCAGCCGCGGUAAUACGGAGGGUGCAAGCGUUAUCCGGAUUUAUUGGGUUUAAAGGGUCCGUAGGCUGAUUUGUAAGUCAGUGGUGAAAUCUCACAGCUUAACUGUGAAACUGCCAUUGAUACUGCAAGUCUUGAGUGUUGUUGAAGUAGCUGGAAUAAGUAGUGUAGCGGUGAAAUGCAUAGAUAUUACUUAGAACACCAAUUGCGAA